rnacentral:rRNA from 1 species
GAUCCUGGCUCAGAUUGAACGCUGGCGGCAUGCUUACACAUGCAAGUCGAACGGCAGCACGGGAGCAAUCCUGGUGGCGAGUGGCGAACGGCGAGUAAUAUAUCGGAACGUGCCCAGUCGUGGGGGAUAACGUAGCGAAAGCUACGCUAAUACCGCAUACGAUCUAUGGAUGAAAGCGGGGGAUCGCAAGACCUCGCGCGAUUGGAGCGGCCGAUAUCAGAUUAGCUAGUUGGUGGGGUAAAGGCUCACCAAGGCGACGAUCCUUAGCUGGUCUGAGAGGAUGAUCAGCCACACUGGGACUGAGACACGGCCCAGACUCCUACGGGAGGCAGCAGUGGGGAAUAUUGGACAAUGGGCGAAAGCCUGAUCCAGCAAUGCCGCGUGAGUGAUGAAGGCCUUCGGGUUGUAAAGCUCUUUUACUCGGGACGAUAAUGACGGUACCGAGAGAAUAAGCCCCGGCUAACUCCGUG